AAUGGUUGCAUUUUUUUAGAGAUUGAAAGCCAAAGACAUAGGAGAGCUUCAUUCUUUCAGGAUUAAUAACUCAACUUUGGGGCUAACACCACAGGCACCUACUUGUGUGAGGAGGCGAUUUUCUGAGCUUUAGAAAAGAGGGAAAGGCGAUUUAAGGCAAGUAAAGAACUCAAACCAGCUCUGGAGUUAACGGCACGGAAGACUGUGUGAGAGGAGGCGAUCUCCUCAGCUUCUUCAGAAGAGAGGGAAAGACAGUA